GACGAACGCUGGCGGCGUGCCUAAUACAUGCAAGUCGAGCGAACACUUCAGGAGGUUUGUCGCCCGAGGGCAUAGGCCGAGGGGUGAGUAACACGUGGAUAACCUACCUAUUAGACACGGAUGAUCUUACGAAACCGGAGCUAAUAUCGGAUAAUAUAUCGACCCGGAAGGUUCCCUAGUGAAAGUCGGUAUUGUUGUUGCUUAAGGAUCGCCCCGCGGCGCAUUAGCAAGUUGGUAAGGGAACGGCUCACCAACGCGACGACACGUAGCCGGCCCGAGAGGAUGAUCAGCGACACUGGGACGGGGAAGCGGUCCAGACUCCUACGGGAGGCAGCAGUGGGGAAUAGUGGAAAACGGGCUCAAGCCUGAUGCUGCUAUGCCGCGUGAGCGCUGUAGGCCUUAGGGUUGUAAAGCUCUUGUAACCGGGAAGAUAAUGACGGUACCGGGAGAAUAAGCCACGGCUAACUACGUG
rnacentral:rRNA from 1 species